CCUUUCGGGGGUACACGAGCGGCGAACGGGUGAGUAACACGUGGGUGACCUGCCCUCAGCUCUGGGAUAAGCCUGGGAAACUGGGUCUAAUACCGGAUAUGACCUUUCCUCGCAUGGGGUUUGGUGGAAAGUUUUUUCGGCUGGGGAUGGGCCCGCGGCCUAUCAGCUUGUUGGUGGGGUGAUGGCCUACCAAGGCGACGACGGGUAGCCGGCCUGAGAGGGCGACCGGCCACACUGGGACUGAGACACGGCCCAGACUCCUACGGGAGGCAGCAGUGGGGAAUAUUGCGCAAUGGGCGGAAGCCUGACGCAGCGACGCCGCGUGGGGGAUGACGGCCUUCGGGUUGUAAACCUCUUUCGACCUUGACGAAGCUUUCGGGUGACGGUAGGGGUAGAAGAAGCACCGGCCAACUACGUGCCAGCAGCCGCGGUAAUACGUAGGGUGCGAGCGUUGUCCGGAAUUAUUGGGCGUAAAGAGCUCGUAGGCGGUCUGUCACGUCGGUCGUGAAAACUUGGGGCUUAACCCUGAGCUUGCGGUCGAUACGGGCAUGACUUGAGUUCGGCAGGGGAGACUGGAAUUCCUGGUGUAGCGGU
rnacentral:rRNA from 1 species